UCAGGACGAACGCUGGCGGCGCGCCUAAUGCAUGCAAGUCGAGCGAGGCUCCACCCUUCGGGGUGGAUGUCCUAGCGGCAAACGGCUGAGUAACGCGUGGGUGAUCUACCCCAGAGAGGGGAAUAACCCGCCGAAAGGCGGACUAAUUCCGCAUACGCUCCACCGUGUAAAGGCGGUGGUGGAAAGGGUUCCGGGCAACCGGGGCCGCUCUGGGAGGAGCUCGCGUCCUAUCAGGUUGUUGGUGGGGUAACGGCCUACCAAAUGCCAAAGACGGGUAGCUGGUGUGAGAGCACGACCAGCCAGAGGGGGACUGAGACACGGCCCCCACUCCUACGGGAGGCAGCAGCAGGGAAUCUUGCACAAUGGGCGAAAGCCUGAUGCAGCGACGCCGCGUGAGGGACGAAGGCUCUAGGGUUGUAAACCUCUUUUCUCAGGGAAGAGCAAGGACGGUACCUGAGGAAUAAGCCACGGCUAACUACGUGCCAGCAGCCGCGGUAAUACGUAGGUGGCGAGCGUUGUCCGGAAUUAUUGGGCGUAAAGGGUCCGUAGGCUGUUUUGUAAGUCUCCUGUGAAAACUCCAGGCUCAACUUGGAGCGGUCGGGGGAUACUGCAAGACUGGAAGGCUGUCAGAGGAAAGCGGAAUUCCCC
rnacentral:rRNA from 1 species